rnacentral:rRNA from 1 species
UACGUAGGUGGCAAGCGUUAUCCGGAUUUAUUGGGCGUAAAGGGAACGCAGGCGGUCUUUUAAGUCUGAUGUGAAAGCCUUCGGCUUAACCGGAGUAGUGCAUUGGAAACUGGGAGACUUGAGUGCAGAAGAGGAGAGUGGAACUCCAUGUGUAGCGGUGAAAUGCGUAGAUAUAUGGAAGAACACCAGUGGCGAAAGCGGCUCUCUGGUCUGUAACUGACGCUGAGGUUCGAAAGCGUGGGUAGCAAUCAGG